rnacentral:misc_RNA from 1 species
GGGAUAGAUUAGCGCUGAUUCGUGUGAAAGAAGACUUCACAGGAAAGUGAGGAUGUCGCUCGGAAUUUCGCUUCAAUGGCAACUCCCCUCCGUUAUCAGGAGUACUACAACCUCGGCAGCUCAACGUACGACCGAUGUCUUUCUGUCGUUUCCUACGUUUCAUUCCGGUCGUGCUCUUCAGAGCUCGGCCAUUCCCAGUAGCUCAAUUGCUACCGGCAAACGGGAUGGACGGUUAAGAUCCCUUCGUUGUCUAUCUGCUCUGGAUCCUAACUUGAAGUCUACGCUGGAUAAGGUUGUCACAUCACAAAAAAUCGUGUUGUUCAUGAAGGGGACCAAGGAAUUUCCUCAAUGCGGAUUCUCAAAUACAGUGGUUCAGAUAUUAAAAGCACUAAAUGCACCCUUCGAGACACUAAAUAUCCUUGAAAAUGAAGCACUUCGUCAAGGAUUGAAGGAG